rnacentral:rRNA from 1 species
CCGCAGCCCGAGUGGUGAUCGUUAUUAUUGGGCCUAAAGCGUCCGUAGCCUGCUUGGUAAAUCCUUGGGUAAAUCGGGCAGCUUAACUGUCCGAAUUCCGGGGAGACUGCCAAGCUUGGGACCGGGAGAGGUCGGAGGUACUCCGGGGGUAGAGGUGAAAUUCUGUAAUCCUCGGGGGACCACCAGUGGCGAAGGCGUCCGACUUGAACGGGUCCGACGGUGAGGGACGAAGCCCUGGGGCACAAACCGGAUUAGAUACCCGUGUAGUCC